AUUGCACUCGGACUCACGCUUGUGCGUGGCCUGAAGGCCCGUGCAGGGGAUCUGCAUUGGCCUUUGCUGGGGUCUUCCCUUUCUGCUGCUUUGACCCAGUUGCUCAGUUUGUUUUCCCUAAAAGCGCUCUGCAGGGGCGGUGGUCCCCUCAGCCUUUCCUUGCAGCUGGAGCCCAACUCCCACCUUCCCCAGCCCUGGGAAGGGCCGAGUCCCUCAGGCCUUGGCUGCAAUGUCCCCUAACUGCUCCAUAGCACGGGCUGCUGCAGCCACACCCAGGCCCGUGGCUCAGGGGUCUCUGGGUCCGUGCUGGAGAAACUGGAGCUGGCAACAGAGCAGAGGCAGCUGUGGUGGAAAAGCAGCACUGGGGCCGGGACUCAGGAGCCUGGCGACCCUGUUUCACUCCGUUCCCAGCUGCCCUGGCCUCGGCACGCAUUUCCAUGCAGAUGUGGUCCGCGGAUGUGGUCCCGACAGCUGCUGGCCUCCAGCCCUGCCGCUGGCAUGUCACACCCGACCGGUGACGCCUUGAACAUGCAGCUCUCUGCCGAGCAGAGUGCAAUGGGUUAAGGCUCUUGCUUGCUGUAGCUGUAAAUCUGAGUUCCCAGCCCCUGGUCUGGGCCAGGCCUUACUAUAAACACAUGCGCAGGAGGGAGCUGGCUGAGUGCUCAUUCUUAACGUGACCUUGCAGAGCUGUCAGAUACCAGCUUCCUCCCCCUUGCCUUUCCCAGCCCUGACAUUGGACCCAGGGCCCUGCAGGCAGGGAAGCUGGGGAGGGACCUGGUGUGCGGCACAGGUUGCCAAAAUCAAAGCAAGCAAGAAAACCACUUAGCACUUAAUAAGUCACAAGGAGAAAACCCUCCCAACACGAUGAGGCGGCGGUGAGCCCAGCCCCCAGGUUCAGCGCGAUGCUGUUGCCAUCAGUACUGCACCAGGGUAAUUAAGGUAGUGCCUAAAGGUGGAGACUUUGGGUGCUAACGAGUACCUCUUUGGCCACUGCAGAAAUGAUUCCUGCCCCACUGGUACUUGCUGUCCUUUACCUUUGAAGUCGCCUCCUCGAACAAGUGGACAGGAGACGUUACCAGCUCAACAUCUGUGGCCACAGGCACCAAAUUCACCCGACUGAGCUGGGACUGACCAGCCCCGCGAUGGGCUACGGGAGAAACCAGGCCCACGUCUGGGUGCUUCUCCGGCCGAAGAGGGUGUGAGCAGCUGGGUCCAUCUCACCUUGACCGACGCUGGUCACAGGGAGAAGAGGGGACUAAGAGCAGACCACCGGUCCAGCGGGAACAGACGACUCAGACCUGCGGCCUUCCCCGGUACCGGGCUGCAGCUGGGUAAAAGUGUUUUUCAGUGCAGCUGCUCCAGCAGUGGGGAAGAGGGACGCGCAGGAACUUACUUGAACGGGAUUUAGUUCCCAGUUGUACAAAACUCCACAUGGCUGAAGGAUUGAUUUCUGCAUAAGCUUUCCAGAAGCGCUCAUCACUGACAAGACCAAACAUGGACUAUGUCAACCUCUACGGUGAUUUUUUUUUUCUGUUCCUCAGAAACUGUUUCACUUAUAAACCCAUGUUUUCUACUCAGUUUUUUUCAACCUUGUUUAAAAAACAGUCAUCCCAAAUACUUGUUAAAUAAGAGAGGUAAAAGCUAAAGGGUACGUGCUGGGGUUUUCAGGCGAAAUCUGAAGGAAGGGAGGAGCGCUGUCUGCUGGGGGAGACUCUAAAUCAAGGUCCUGAUCUGCUGCUGCCGCCGCCCCAAGACGUGCAGACAUGGUCAUGGUGCCCGAGCU